rnacentral:lncRNA from 10 species
CAGGAAUAAAUUAUCUCAAUGGCUACUUACAUGGUCCAGCAUAGCAGAAAAAAAAGCCACACUGAGCAAGCAGUGGUCCUUUCCAUGCUACACAAGCAAGAAAUGCCUAUAAAGACAGACUUGAGUGCAGUCUAAAGAAUCUUUUGCUUUGCCUUAACACUCUACUUCUGGAUAUCCUUGCUCAAAAAGAAGUCUACUCAAGAGACAGGGAGGUUCCUGUGGACAGAAACAUCUGCUUCCUGCUUAUCCUGUAUCUCAGCAUCUGAAUGGUCAUGACUGGAACACAGGCAGACUUCAGAAAUAAAUACAUAAAUAUCUCAUACUCCUCGAAUCUUUUAGAAAAAGAGUGUGGGUAACAAUAAACAUAUCUGCUGAGAAAUGACCACCUCACUCUACUCUUCUGCAGACUUCCCAUUCUGUGCCGAGUCACCCUCAGUAGGCCUAAGUGUGACGAUCCUCUCAGCACUCCCUGUAAACCUAUUUAGGAAUCCGCGAAAGAAAGAGAAGACCACCAGGCAGACUGGUGAUGAUAUUUCUUGGGGAGGCUGUGCAGUUUUUCAUAGUGAAGCCUACAACUUAGAUUUUCAGCACUAAUAGAACCCCAUUAUCAGGAGGAGAGAAAAGCACUAAUUUCAGAUGGGCUCUGACAGGGGACAGUUUUAAGAAUUUAUAGAGAGACAUUUCCGUGUCCAGCCAGGAUGUAAUCAUGGAAAUUGGAUUUACCUUCCCAUCCAUGUGUAACACCAACAUCCAGUGGUUUUUCAUGAUACUGAACAAAGGCAGCAAUCACUGAGAGACUGGGAAAUAAACAAAAGGACUGCCCCAAUUUAUUAAGAAAGCUUCCAGACCACAAUGAAGGUAGGUGGUGUGGAGUCCUGACAAGGUAAGUUAGCACCAACAAGGAAGAGGCCAGCCCCCGAUGGGGGAGAACAAUUGUUCUGAGAGACAGCUAAUCACAAACAACCUGCUUGUACAACAUCCUGUUCCCAAAUACCUUGCUCUGCAUAUACCCCAGCAGCACAAUCCUCUCUGCACAUAACCCCUCCAGCAUGGCCCUAGAAAACUUCCUUUCAGCCCCUGCCUCUUGGCAGACAGCCUCUUCUCUGCUGUGCCGGCCAUUGCUUCCCGCUAAUAAACUUGUUCUCGUUUUUGUUGUUGUUGUUUCGAGAUGAAGUUUCACUCUGUCGCCAGGCUGGAGUGCUGUGGUGUGAUCUCGGCUCACUGCAACCUCUGCCUACCAGGUUCAAGCAAAUCUUGUGCCUCCGUUUCCCGAGGAGCUUGGGAUUACAGGCGCCCGCCACCACGCCCGGCUCAUUUUUGUAUUUUUAGUAGAGACGGGGUUUCACCAUGUUGGCCAGGCUGGUCUCGAUCUCUUGACCUCGUGAUCUGCCCACCUCGGCCUCCCAAAGUACUAGGAUUACAGGCGUGAGCCUCCGCACCCGGCCUAAACUUGGUUUUAACUCGCACCUGUUUCAGUAAAUUAUUUACUUCCCGUGAAGCCAGCCUUAGCCAGUCACGCUCACAACAAGUAGAAGCCAGGCGGAGCCUGAAGGAGGCCCUGAGUUAAGGUGACAAAG